GGGUCCGUCGGUUAACGGUAAACCAUCGCUCUCCAAAAGCGAGACUGUAGGUUCGAUUCCUGCCGGGCCCGCCA
rnacentral:tRNA from 1 species